rnacentral:misc_RNA from 1 species
UCUCUCUCUCUCUCUCUCUAACAUGCAUCAGAAAGUGGUGCAUAGACAUAUAUAUUAAUCAGAAAGUGUGUAUAAAUUCUUGGUGCCCAUCAUCGUCAUCAUCAGGAAAGAUGGCUAUAGGGUUUUGAAGAUGAAGCCACUGAUUUCCAUCUAUGUAUGAAAUGUUCAUGUAAGGAGAUGCUUCAUAUUCAGAUAGUUGCUUCCCAUAGGCUACUCUAAAUGCGUAGUUUGCUCCAGGUCCAUAGCACUCGUACUCUCCAAAGAACACUGUCCUGCAAUUCAAAACAACCAUUUAUAUAAAUACAAACAGCAAUAUAUAGAGAGAACUACACACAGAAUGAGAGAGAAAUUAGGAAAUGGGUAUAUAUAGAAAGGGGCAUUAAUGAGUAGGAUCGACCACAGACUGGUCUCUAGAGGGGUCUCUCCAAUCGUUCCAACCAUCUGGGGAUACAACAUUGGACAUGUAAGUUUUAGAAAAUACUACAGUGGCAUAUGCACCCCAAGCUCUACCAAGCCAUACUUUCCCACUUCCAUUAAUGCUACAACUCACAAAGGAAAACCCUGUUUGCUCGCUCAUGGAUUGCCUUGCUUGUGCUGUAAUUGAUCCACUAACUCCUGCUGUUGGAGGUUUUGCUAUGGAAUUGAUGAUGCAGCCCUCAAAAAGUGAUUUAGCAUUUCCAAAAAUGAAAUCAAUAGAUCCUUGGAUGAAGCAUUCUCUAAAAUAAUGCCUCCCACGAUCAUCAUGAAGUGUGUCUUGAGCUCCAUAAAAUCCACACCCAUAAAAAGCAGCUUGAUCACCUGCUAUUCUAAGUGCUACUGCCUGCCCUCCCACUUCCCCUGGAGAUGGCGAAGGAGAUGCAUUCUUAAAGCUAAUAUUGUAAGCAGUGAAGUUAAGUGCAAAGAUGGCAACUGAAGCACUGUAGACAGUUCCUCCGGUAGAAUUUGCAGUGUCAUUCCAUUCUAUGGCAGUGCUGAGAUAACUCUGACCUUGAAAUAUUAUGUUUGUUUUGUUAGUAUGCACUGUCACCUUCUCCCUGUAGGUACCAGAAUCGAUUAUGAUGAGGGUUGGGGAGGGGCUAAAAUCUGGGGCAACAUCAACUGCCUUCUGAACACUGCUAAAAUUUCCACAACCUUUCAUGUCUACUGUCAGAACACAAAACACUUUAUAAUGGUAUAUUAACCUUCUAUAACGGUAUAUAAUCCUAGACUUCCAUGAAUUCCUGUCACAUUUGUGCUUCUUCCGGUGGUGGCGGUGAUGUCUAGACAAGAUCCUUGAUAGGUCGUCCUCUAAACCAGUUUGCUUGAAAACCCUUCUGAGAAUGAAGAGCUGAAAAUUAUCGGGAACACCUAUGGGAGUGGUUGUCAAAGAGGAAGGAAGGAUUGCAUAGAGCGAAAUUAUAAUGGAAAUUAGAGCAAUGGCAGAGGCAAAGAGCCAAAAGGAGAAAGUUCUGAUACUCAUACUUAAAAGGCUUAGGUGUUUGUUGAAGAUUGUAUGUUACUUUGUAGCAAAGUACAGAAGGAGUGAUGUGGGUGUUUCAUUUAAUGUGAAGAAGAGAUUGAUGAUUGACGUGGGAGGUAAGGAAUGUAAGGUUUCUUUAAGUGAUAUUUCUGAGUGUGAUGAUGAUUACACCGUCCUGCUUUAGAGAAGUAAUGGUGCAGAAAAGAAAGGGUGAGGAGAAAUCACGAGAAUGGAAGUUUGGAAGAUGCAUACCCUAAGACAUGAUAAAACAGAA